rnacentral:rRNA from 1 species
UACGGAGGAUGCGAGCGUUAUCCGGAUUUAUUGGGUUUAAAGGGUGCGUAGGCGGGCUUUUAAGUCAGCGGUAAAAAUUCGGGGCUCAACCCCGUCCGGCCGUUGAAACUGGGGGUCUUGAGUGGGCGAGAAGAAGGCGGAAUGCGUGGUGUAGCGGUGAAAUGCAUAGAUAUCACGCAGAACCCCGAUUGCGAAGGCAGCCUUCCGGCGCCCCACUGACGCUGAGGCACGAAAGUGCGGGUAUCGAACAGG